AGAAAUGCUGCACACACUCACACAUACUGUCAGACAAUUUACAGCUCCGUCAGCAGGAAACAUGUUGGCCGUAAUCCUUUUUGCCGGAGCGGUUAUUUUUACAGAUCAAACAAUUGCUCAAAGCACAGCGUCUGCAGAUCUCAUCAAUUCAACAGCACCAACAACAACUUUACCACUAACAACAGCUACAGCAGAAUCAUCUCUGCUAACAAAUGAAUCAGAAACAACUCUAUCAGCAAUAACUCCAUUAACAACUUCAACAGACACAACUCCACAACUUACAACCACUCUAUUAACAACUCCAACAGAAACAUCUCAACCUCUAACAGCUCUACCACCAACUCCACAAACAUCUCUAAUAACAACUUCAACAGAAAUAACUUCAACAGAAACAACUCUACCAAUGUCAGCAACUCUUCUGCCAACUUCACCUACUAUUCCAUUAACAACUUCAACAGAAUCAACUUCAACAACAACAACAACACCUACAUCAACUGAAACAUCAACAACUCCACCCUCAUCAACUGAAACGUCAGCAACUCCACAUACACCAACUACAUCCUCAUCAAUUGAAACAUCAACAACUACACCCUCAUCAGCUGAAACAUCAACAACUCCACCUACACCAAUGGAAAUAUCAACAACUUCACCCUCAACAACUGAAACAUCAACAACUUCACCCUCAUCAACUGAAACAUCAACAACUUCACCCUCAUCAACUGAAAUGUCAACAACUACAUCCACAUCAACUGAAACAUCAACAACUACAUCCUCAUCAACUGAAACAUCAACAACUACAUCCUCAUCAACUGAACGUCAACAACUCCACCUACACUAACUGAAACAUCAACAACUACAUCCUCAUUAACUGAAACAUCAACAACUACACCUCAUCAACUCAAACAUCAACGACUCCACCUACACCAAUAGAAAUAUCAACAACUCCACCCUCAACAACUGAAACAUCAACAACUUCACCCUCAUCAACAGAAACGUCAACACUUACAUCCUCAUCAACUGAAACAUCAACUACACCCUCAUCAACUGAAACGUCAACAACUACAUCCUCAUCAACUCAAACAACAACAACUACAUCCUCAUCAACUGAAACAUCAAGAACCACUGCAGCCCCAACCAACAGAACCAAAACCAGUACACCUUCUACCACAAUAAACACUUCAAACCAAACUUCUAACCCGAACCCCGUAAUAAUCGGCAUGCGAGUUUCGGUCAGAUCUUCUGUCAAGCUGGAUAUGAACCAAGCCAAAGCCAUUGUCCAGCAGUAUUUAGCCCAGCUAAACCUCACAUCACCCUCAACAACUGAAACAUCAACAACUACAUCCUCAUCAACUGAAACGUCAACAACUACAUCCUCAUCAACUGAAAAGUCAACAACUACACCCUCAUCAACUGAAGCGUCAACAACUACAUCCUCAUCAACUGA